GCCUAUGUAGCUCAGCGGUAGAGCACUUCCUUGGUAAGGAAGAGUUCACGGGUUCAAUUCCCGUCAUCGGCU
rnacentral:tRNA from 1 species